GAUGAACGCUGGCGGCGUGCCUAAUACAUGCAAGUCGAGCGACCACACAAUGAGCUUUCUCUCCUGCCGUUAGCGACUGACGGGUGAGUAACACGUACAUCACCUUCUUCUUUUUCUUGGAUGACUUCGUAAAACCACAUCUACUACUACCUCAUAUAUUCAACCGCUUGAUUCAAUAGUUCUUCACGCUUUUCCUGUCUCUUUUAGAUGAUUCCGCGCCGCAUUAGCUAGUUGGUAAGGUAACGGCUUACCAAGGCGACGAUGCGUAUCUGGCCUGAGAGGGUGAUCAGCCACACUGGAACUGAGACACGGUCCAGACUCCUACGGGAGGCAGCAGUGGGGAAUAUUCGGCAAUGGGCGAAAGCCUGACGGAGCCACACCGCGUGAGUGAAGAAGGCCUUCGGGUCGUAAAACUCUGUUAUUAGGAAAGAACAAAAGUAUAAGAAAACAUGGAUGUUUUGACGGUACCUAAACAAAAAGCAACGGCUAACUUCGUG
rnacentral:rRNA from 1 species